AAUCGAGUGGCGAACGGGUGAGUAACGCGUGGGGAACCUGCCUCAAAGAGGGGGACAACAGUUGGAAACGACUGCUAAUACCGCAUAAGCCCACGGCUCGGCAUCGAGCAGAGGGAAAAGGAGCAAUCCGCUUUGAGAUGGCCUCGCGUCCGAUUAGCUAGUUGGUGAGGUAACGGCCCACCAAGGCGACGAUCGGCAGCCGGACUGAGAGGUUGAACGGCCACAUUGGGACUGAGACACGGCCCAGACUCCUACGGGAGGCAGCAGUGGGGAAUAUUGCACAAUGGGGGAAACCCUGAUGCAGCGACGCCGCGUGGAGGAAGAAGGUCUUCGGAUUGUAAACUCCUGUUGUUGAGGAAGAUAAUGACGGUACUCAACAAGGAAGUGACGGCUAACUACG
rnacentral:rRNA from 1 species